GGGAUCCUGAGAUUUGGCCUCGGCCUUGGAGGAGAGGUCUCCUUGGUCCUUAAACCAACCUGGGUUGGGAGGCGGGCUCGCCAUUGAUCUGAAGGUGUUACCGGCACCAACCAAUAACACGGUGACCUGCAUUUCCUGAGAUAGGCUGCCCCCAGACCGUGCAGAGAGGGGUCUGGUCAUUUCAAAACUUCAGGCUCAAAUUUGAUCCCAAACUUUCUUCUUCCUCCACAAGGAGUCCCAUGGAGCCUGAAUAAUUGACAGUGUGGUCAGCAGCUGACCGCUACUUCCAAGCGUGGUGGAAAUUGACUGGGUCAACAUUUACUGCCCCAGCCCCAGGAGGCCCCGGGGGUCAGAGGGUCAUAAAAAGAACUACACUCUCGUCAGAUGGUGUCCACGCACAGACAGCACUGCAGGGAGAGAGGAAGUGGCAGCUUUUGUUCUUAUAACCUUGUGA
ensembl:lncRNA